CUUGAGCUAUCAAUCCUUUGCCUCUGCUCUCACUCUCUUGUCUCUUUCUCUGCUGCUCUCACUCUAACAUCAAUCUCCACUGUCGAAGUUUAACGAAUACGAGCCCUAGCUCUCAAUCUUUCUCACAAAACUCCUUGAAAUUCCAUGGAGCUUUCUCUCAAAGGCUCUUCUCUCGAGGGCUCUGUCUCAGAAGGUACUCUUGGCUGCGACUUUGGUUCAUCACAAUGCUGAUUGAUAGGUCCUAUUCACAAACAGCAAGCUCCAGACAAGAAUGGAUCUCUCUUUUGGUCCUCUUUAUAGAUAUUCAACAUCUUAGGUGAAUUUUGCUUCUUUCCAUAGCUUUAGUAAUUGUUGAUAACUACGGAAAAUAGCUCUUAGUAAAUAUUUAAAUAAGAAUUGUUGCAAUGUUAAUUUCUAUUAA